CCUACGGGAGGCAGCAGUGAGGAAUAUUGGACAAUGGGCGUAAGCCUGAACCAGCCAAGUCGCGUGAGGGAUGAAGGUUCUAUGGAUCGUAAAUCCUUUUUAUAAGGGAGUACAGUGCGGGACGUGUCUCGUUUUGUACGUACCUUAUGUAUUAGGAUCGGCUUACCCCGUUCCGUCCGCCGCGGUAAUACGGCGGAUCCGAGGGUUGUCCGGUUUGAUUGGGUUUAAAGGGAGCGUAGGCGGGCUUUUAAGUUAGCGGGGAAAGUCAGGGGCUCAACCCUAGGAUUGCCGUUGAGACUAGGAAGCUAGAGUAAGUUAGAGGCAGGCGGAAUGCGUGGUGUAGCGGUGAAAUGCGUAGAUAUAAGGCAGAACACC
rnacentral:rRNA from 1 species